GUGCUCGCUUCGCAGCACAUACACUAAACAUUGGAACAGUACAGAGAUUGGCAUGGCCCCUGUGCAAGGAUGACACGCAACUUCGUGAACUGCUCUAUAUUUCG